AUUGAACGCUGGCGGCAGGCCUAACACAUGCAAGUCGAACGAGUGGCGGACGGGUGAGUAAUGUCUGGGAAACCGCCUGAUGGAGGGGGAUAACUACUGGAAACGGUAGCUAAUACCGCAUACCAGCGGAUGUGCCCAGAUGGGAUUAGCUUGUAGGUGGGGUAAAGGCUCACCUAGGCGACGAUCACUAGCUGGUCUGAGAGGAUGACCGGCCACACUGGAACUGAGACACGGGCCAGACUCCUACGGGAGGCAGCAGUGGGGAAUAUUGCACAAUGGGCGCAAGCCUGAUGCAGCCAUGCCGCGUGUAUGAAGAAGGCCUUCGGGUUGUAAAGUACUUUCAGCGGGGAGGCGUUACCCGCAGAGGAAGCACCGGCUAACUCCGUGCCAGCAGCCGCGGUAAUAC
rnacentral:rRNA from 1 species